rnacentral:lncRNA from 1 species
GGUCCAGCUACAAUACCCAUGGGGUUUGGUACCCCAUUUUUUGUCUUUUUCAAAUCUACCGUUGGAUUUAACGUAAGAAUUGCAGAAUGGCUGAGAUGUAAUUUUUGGGUUAUUAACAACAAAGACCCUUAUUGUUCAUGGAAAAUAAAAAAAAAUCAAAAGUUUUGAAAUUAUGACGUAUAAGUCCAUAAUAUUCUCUUUUUUUCUUUUUAACUAUUGAACUCGGUUUCUAAUUAAAUGACUUUUUCUUAAAUUUAUU